GGCUUGGGGGGCCACGCCCCCGGGGAGCGGAGGCCGGCGGGCGCAGGCGAAAUUCCGCAGGGAGUACGGUGAGGAGCUAGCGGUUGGGGUCGGGUCUCCGGGCGCGUACUCCCCCCGCCGGUGAGGGUGAACUAACGGAGGUGGGCGGGCCGGCGCGCCGGGUUAGCAGGCGUUUAUCCUGUACGGCCGCAGCAGUCAGCGCCCUUCACCAGCACGAACCCCGCCUGCAGAGCCCUCGGCGGCAUCCAGCAGGAGGCCUCCCGCGGGAACUGUCACUCCGCCAAACAAGAGAGUUAAACAAGCAAAAGUCUAGAAACAAGCCAGCUGUCCAUCUACAGUGGAAAGCAUAAACAAAUUGUGAUGUGUUCACGUACUGGAGUUCUACCCUGGCGUGAAAAAUCCACGAGCCACAGCUGCAAGCAACAAUAUGGUAAAGUCUUUGUGAAAGACAUCAGUUGGCACCUCAGAGUUUGGAUUUCUCUGCAGGUGUGCUGGGGGCCUCAGCGUCCGUGUGCCUCAGCUGCCUGGGCUCAGUCUGUCCAGGAGGGAUUUGGAAAGGACCCACGUAACGCCACAAAUAAAACACUAAAAUGGGAGCUUUUCGGGAAAAAAAAAAUAGAAUCCAGAAUGUUCUGAGCCACUUAAACUCUUCUGGAAAAGUGGAAAAAACAGUGUGGAAGUGUCAAUCCUUCUAUUGUAUUUAGACAGUGUCUUUAAAUGUCAACUUUGUAUGUGAUUGUGAGAUGUAUAUGAACGGAGGCAUUACUAUCAUUCUAUCAUAAUUUACUGCUUGACCAAAAUAAACUAAUAAGAUAAAUAAAUACAUCUGCUCAUCCCCAACUGACUAAUAUGACCCUGAAUCGAAAUAAAAUAUUGGAUGAGCUGGCGAUGCCAAGUUUAAACUGGAUUAGUGACAGAAUCUCAGUGUGCUGUUUCGAUAUAAUUAACGCGAUGAUUUAAUAUGUUUUUAGCUCAGAAUCAUCGUAAGAGGUUUUUUGUAGCAACAUAGAAAUGAACACACACUCAUCCAAUCUGCAGAGGAAUAAAAGGUUAUAAUAUUUUUGAGUUCUCCUGGCAGAGGAUCCAUUCUCAUCAAUCUCAUGCUCGGCAGGAGAGCCUAGGGAUGUUUUUCUUCCCAUCACUCACAGCCGUUAUUUAAUGGGGGGUAACAGCCACAGUCUUCAUUAAUAUAUUAACCUAUGGCUCCAAAAGGCCUCGCAGUAAACCAGCUAAAGACUCCUCCUGGCAGGGUCAUGUCACAGGGCUUGCAGACGUUAACCAUUGGAAACACUGACCUCAGGGAUAAGCCCAAAGUUAAUAGCCAGUCGAAGUCGGCUGGCCGACAAGCAGAAAGAGGGAGCCAAGAAGCCGACCUCAGGGAACCCACGUGCGAGCUGUUCAAGAGGGAUGGGGCACAACCACGUGUAAAACCUUACGGUGGAACGUCCUGCAGCUUCUAAGAGAAUGAGCAAAAUGGAACGAGUGCUAAAUACAUGGUUACGUGAAAAAAAAUGAAGAUGCCACAGGGAUUAAACUCUUAGUUGCUCAGCAUUCUAGCACUGAGGGGUCGCCAGAGGAACGGCUGGCUCCUGGCCUGCUCACCCUAAGGCUAAACCUACCGAGGCUCCCUGGAAACACACAGCACGCUUUCCUAAUGACACCAGAUCUCGGCUCUUUCAAACCGAAAGAACCGAAAAGGAAAUCAUAGACUCUUGUGGAUGUGUAAUGAGACAGUAAAGCAUGUGUCUGUGGACUCUGCUUCCCGGUUUCCAAAUGACUCACAGUGCAAGUCUUCACAUCAUAAGCUCAGGGGUCUCCCAUCCUGCUCACCCUGCAGUGAAACCUGGCUCUGAUGAGCCUCCACAGGACACACGAGCCAUUGCCUAUGCUGUAGCUUGAAGGUCAACAAAGAACGACCGGACAUAACUGGGAAACCAGAAAUACGAAGGACAGGGCUUCCCUGGUGGCGCAGUGGUUGAGAGUCCGCCUGCCGAUGCAGGGGACACGGGUUCGUGCCUCCGUCCGGGAG